rnacentral:rRNA from 1 species
GUGGGGAAUAUUGGGCAAUGGGCGAAAGCCUGACCCAGCAACGCCGCGUGAAGGAAGAAGGUUUUCGGAUCGUAAACUUCUAUCCUUGGUGAAGAUAAUGACGGUAGCCAAGAAGGAAGCCCCGGCUAACUACGUGCCAGCAGCCGCGGUAAUACGUAGGGGGCAAGCGUUGUCCGGAAUGAUUGGGCGUAAAGGGCACGUAGGCGGCCCGGUAAGUCUGAAGUGAAAGUCCUGCUUUUAAGGUGGGAAUUGCUUUGGAUACUGUCGGGCUUGGGUGCAGGAGAGGUAAGCGGAAUGCCCGGUGUAGCGGUGAAAUGCGUAGAGAUCGGGAGGAACACCAGUGGCGAAGGCGGCUUACUGGACUGUAACUGACGCUGAGGCGCGAAAGUGUGGGGAGCAAACAGGAUUAGAUACCCGGGUAGUCC